rnacentral:rRNA from 1 species
GUCUAGUACUCAGAGUUUGAUCCUGGCUCAGGACGAACGCUGGCGGCGUGCCUAAUACAUGCAAGUUGAGCGAUGAAGAUUGGUGCUUGCACCAAUUUGAAGAGCAGCGAACGGGUGAGUAACGCGUGGGGAAUCUGCCUUUGAGCGGGGGACAACAUUUGGAAACGAAUGCUAAUACCGCAUAAUAACUUUAAACAUAAGUUUUAAGUUUGAAAGAUGCAAUUGCAUCACUCAAAGAUGAUCCCGCGUUGUAUUAGCUAGUUGGUGAGGUAAAGGCUCACCAAGGCGAUGAUACAUAGCCGACCUGAGAGGGUGAUCGGCCACAUUGGGACUGAGACACGGCCCAA